ACAUAGGGUGCAAGCGUUGUCCGGAAUUAUUGGGCGUAAAGCGUCCGCAGGUGGUCAGCCAAGUCUGCCGUCAAAUCAGGUUGCUUAACGACCUAAAGGCGGUGGAAACUGGCAGACUAGAGAGCAGUAGGGGUAGCAGGAAUUCCCAGUGUAGCGGUGAAAUGCGUAGAGAUUGGGAAGAACAUCGGUGGCGAAAGCGUGCUACUGGGCUGUAUCUGACACUCAGGGACGAAAGCUAGGGGAGCGAAAGGGAUUAGAUACCCCUGUAGUCCUAGCCGUAAACGAUGGAUACUAGGCGUGGCUUGUAUCGACCCGAGCCGUGCCGAAGCUAACGCGUUAAGUAUCCCGCCUGGGGAGUACGCACGCAAGUGUG
rnacentral:rRNA from 1 species